rnacentral:misc_RNA from 1 species
CUUUUUUUUUUUUUUUUUGUGAAAUUUCUUUACUUUCAACAUCCGAUUGAGUCUUCUUGCCAAGAUUUGGUUCACAUAAACCGAUGAAGGCAAACACGGACUCAUUUACGCUAAAAUGUAUUCAGUGCAAUCGUUGACUCAUACAUGAUCAAUGGUCAUAGUACAAUAUAAUGAUUGUAUUUUAAAUUUUUUUUCAUUUACACUCACCCUUUAUGACCCUUAAAAUGGGUUGUCAUCAUUAUUAUCAUAGUUCAUAUAGAAAUGCCCGUACUAUUUUCAAUGCUAAAACGAUGAAACAUAACAAGUCAUUGCAAUUUUCUGUAAACAUGGACAUGACAAGGAGACAUUAAGCCUUCUUAUACAGUGGAAAUAUACGGCACAGAAAGGGCGAGAGAAUCAUACGCAUCUACUCUGGCCAAGGAUCAAUCCUUGAGCUGUGUUCAUCUCAUCCACCACGCAACUCUACUGACAGAAUUGUUAUGCUGCAUGUCUAAUCGAAGGGGUCAAUCCUUGGGUCGUGUUCACUAGCCAUAGCCAUUCCAGUGCAA